rnacentral:rRNA from 1 species
GAUGAACGCUGGCGGCGUGCUUAACACAUGCAAGUCGAACGAAGCACUUUAUUUGAUUUCCUUCGGGACUGAUUAUUUUGUGACUGAGUGGCGGACGGGUGAGUAACGCGUGGGUAACCUGCCUUGUACAGGGGGAUAACAGUUGGAAACGGCUGCUAAUACCGCAUAAGCGCACAGCAUCGCAUGAUGCAGUGUGAAAAACUCCGGUGGUAUAAGAUGGACCCGCGUUGGAUUAGCUAGUUGGUGAGGUAACGGCCCACCAAGGCGACGAUCCAUAGCCGACCUGAGAGGGUGACCGGCCACAUUGGGACUGAGACACGGCCCAAACUCCUACGGGAGGCAGCAGUGGGGAAUAUUGCACAAUGGGCGAAAGCCUGAUGCAGCGACGCCGCGUGAGCGAAGAAGUAUUUCGGUAUGUAAAGCUCUAUCAGCAGGGAAGAUA